AGGUCCAGCACACCGUCCUCCCCGACAGGCACAUCAUCUACAGACUCUGGAGGACACCACCUGGGCUGGGGAGAACAGCAGGGCCAGUGGCUGCGCAGGAGAAGAUUGGAUGGGGCUAUCAACAGGGUCCCUGUGGGAUUCUACCAGAGAGUGUGGAAGAUCCUUCAGAAGUGCCAUGGUCUAUCCAUCGACGGUUAUGUCCUCCCAUCUUCAACAACCCAAGAGGUAAAGUGAGAAGACCCAGCUAGCAGCCCAGCCGUGGGCUUGCCCCAUGGCUGAUUCUGCAUAUGCCUUACAGAAUUAUUCUAUGGAGCCAGGCCAUCUAUAGGUCUGAUCACUGUAACUGUGUCACCCUCAAAUUGUACAAAAUUCCUUUCUUCUUACCUUUCCCUCUCAGUCCCCUCAGCAAUAGCAUUUAUAAACUCUGGGCCCCUAAAACUCCACCCAAACCCUGUCACACAUGCAGGAGACCGAUGCAGGGCCCUUUCAAGCACGAGCAACCUUUCCUUCAGUUUAUUCACCCUCCAUGAAUUCUGGGGUAUCUUCAGCCUUUCAAGCACAAGGCACCACUUCCAGGCAUUUUUUUAAAAGACAGAUUUUGUCUUCUCUCCUAUUUUCUUUUCUUUUGUUUUUUUCUUUUACCCUGCCCAAGGUACCAUUCUUUAUACCAUGGGGAAUUUCCUUAAGAAACAAGAAAUGGCCUCUGUUCCCUAAAAGUCUCAGUCAAAAGACAGACAAAAGGAACUAGAAUAAGCUCAGCUGGCCCUGGGGAACAGCAGUCACCCCUCCUCCGGAAGGCUGCUGCAUUGAAUCAAGACAGUGAACAGGAGGGAGGCAGCCUUUGAACCGAGCUCCGACAGCGCUAGGGCAGCAUUGACUAUAGGGCUCUGUCUGCUUCAUCUUUCACACUGCCAACCUGCUGAUCAUUUGGUAGAUGACCCCUUGUGAGAUCAAGUUCGCUGUCCAUGUGGAAUCAGUGCUCAACCGUGUGUCCCAGCCCGAGUAUCGGCAGCUACUGGUAGAAGCCAUCAUGGUACUGACACUGCUCUCAGAUACGGAAAUGGACAGUAUCGGGGGCAUCAUCCAUGUGGACCAGAUAGUGCAGCUAGCCAAUCAGCUGUUCCUGCAGGACCAGGUGUCAUUUGGAACCACAGAUAUCCUGGAAAAAGACCAAGCCACAGGAAUUUGCCACCUCUUUUAUGACAGUGCUCCCAGUGGGGCUUAUGGCACAAUGACCUACCUAACGAAAGCAGUAGCUUCUCAUUUGCAGGACCUGUUGCCCAGUUCAGGCUGCCAGAUGCAGUAA
rnacentral:lncRNA from 1 species